AUGCUUCGUUGUUUAGACGGUUCCCUCUCGAGGAGUCGACCCCCAAGUGAAAUCUCGUGAUGACGUGACGACGGUGUACGUACUCUCUACUAGCAGACGGAAGUGGUCAUCAAGAAGGCAUGCUACACGCGGCCAUUGUUUCUCAUAGCUAAACGCACUCAAUACUUCACUAUCGAUCUGAAGCUGGUUCUGAAUGCAAGCUAAUCAGGAUCGAAGCUCCGGGUGUGGAAAGCAUUGAGACGAAGCCAGACUAUAAGCGGUCGACUGUCGGUCACUGGGCAAUAGAAGUAAGUGGACUCAAGGAAAGGGAUGAUGAUGUAAUGUUUGUCAGAGAUCUAGAAAAGCAGGCAGUGGAUGGCAAUCCUCGUCUGAAGCCGGCAAUUCGAAAUGACCGAGGUGGCAAAGCAAACAAACCAGAGCCUGAUGCUGACAGCUGCAGAUACGGGAACUUUUCUGAACUCUUUCAGAUUCCUCUCAAGUUCAAGAAACCACAAGUUCUGAAACUGGGUUCUGAAAACGGAGUCUUCUAUCUGCUAUUUGAAGAAGAAGAGGACGAGGACGGACAGCAAGCAAUAUAGGCAACAUGUGAAUGGAGUCGAACUUUAGACACGCAGGGUAGUUGGGAGUUGUGUUACAUGUAGUGUGUAAUGUGCUUUACCUUGGUCUGCAUUAUCAGUAGUAUGAUCAAUCUUGUAAUCAUUGUGUUAGCUGAUAUCGAGUCAUGAGUACUAGUGUUCUCAAUAGACU